rnacentral:rRNA from 1 species
UGUAAGCGUAUACCAAAGUUGUUGCAGUUAAAACGCUCGUAGUCGGAAUUUGGCAGUUCCGGAUGUGUGCACGUCGUGUGCGCACUUCGCGGGGAUUGCUUUUGUGGUCUUGCGUAGGAUGAGGCACUUUUAUUAGUGAACGUCCUCACGCAACCACUUUUUACUGUGAGAAAAUCAGAGUGCUCAAAGCAGGCAUUUGCCGUGAAUGUAUUAGCAUGGAAUAAUAGAAUAGGACUUGGUUCUAUUUUGUUGGUUUGUUGGGACUGAGUAAGGAUUAAGAGGGACAGUUGGGGGCAUUUGUAUUUCGGUGCUAGAGGUGAAAUUCUUAGAUUACCGAAAGACAAACUGCUGCGAAAGCGUCUGCCAAGGAUGUUUUCAUUGA